rnacentral:rRNA from 1 species
AUUGAACGCUGGCGGCAGGCCUAACACAUGCAAGUCGAACGGUAGCACAGAGAGCUUGCUCUCGGGUGACGAGUGGCGGACGGGUGAGUAACGUCUGGGAAACUGCCCGAUGGAGGGGGAUAACUACUGGAAACGGUAGCUAAUACCGCAUAACGUCGCAAGACCAAAGUGGGGGACCUUCGGGCCUCACACCAUCGGAUGUGCCCAGAUGGGAUUAGCUAGUAGGUGGGGUAAUGGCUCACCUAGGCGACGAUCCCUAGCUGGUCUGAGAGGAUGACCAGCCACACUGGAACUGAGACACGGUCCAGACUCCUACGGGAGGCAGCAGUGGGGAAUAUCGCACAAUGGGCGCAAGCCUGAUGCAGCCAUGCCGCGUGUAUGAAGAAGGCCUUCGGGUUGUAAAGUACUUUCAGCGGGGAGGAAGGCGGUGAAGUUAAUAACUUCACCGAUUGACGUUACCCGCGGAAGAAGCACCGGCUAACUCCGUGCCAGCAGCAGCCGCGG